rnacentral:rRNA from 1 species
GAUGAACGCUAGCGGCAGGCCUAAUACAUGCAAGUCGAACGGUGUCUUCGGACAUAGUGGCGCACGGGUGCGUAACACGUAUGCAACCUACCUUACAUUGGGGGAUAGCCUUUCGAAAGGGAGAUUAAUACCGCAUAAGACAGUAGCUGGGCAUCCAGCAGCUGUUAAAGAUUUAUCGAUGUAAGCUGGGCAUGCGUCCAAUUAGCUAGUUGGUGAGGUAACGGCUCACCAAGGCAAUGAUUGGUAGGGGAACUGAGAGGUCAAUCCCCCACACUGGCACUGAGAUACGGGCCAGACUCCUACGGGAGGCAGCAGUGGGGAAUAUUGGACAAUGGGCGGAAGCCUGAUCCAGCCAUGCCGCGUGUGUGAAGAAGGCCUUUUGGUUGUAAAGCACUUUAAGCGAGGAGGAGGCUCUUAAGGUUAAUACCCUUGAUGAGUGGACGUUACUCGCAGAAUAAGCACCGGCUAACUCUGUGCCAGCCGCCGCCGUAAUAC